rnacentral:rRNA from 1 species
CGGGAGGCAGCAGUGGGGAAUAUUGGACAAUGGGGGAAACCCUGAUCCAGCAAUGCCGCGUGAGUGAUGAAGGCCUUCGGGUUGUAAAGCUCUUUUGUCAGGGACGAUGAUGACGGUACCUGACGAAUAAGCUCCGGCUAACUUCGUGCCAGCAGCCGCGGUAAUACGAGGGGAGCUAGCGUUGUUCGGAAUUACUGGGCGUAAAGGGCGUGUAGGCGGUACCAUAAGUCAGAUGUGAAAGCCCUGGGCUUAACCUAGGAUGUGCAUUUGAUACUGUGGAACUAGAGAUCGAGAGAGGAAAGUGGAAUUACGAGUGUAGAGGUGAAAUUCGUAGAUAUUCGUAAGAACACCAGUGGCGAAGGCGACUUUCUGGCUCGAUACUGACGCUAAGGCGCGAAAGCGUGGGGAGCAAACAGGAUUAGAUACCCCAGU